GAUGAACGCUGGCGGUGUGCCUAACACAUGCAAGUCGAGCGAUUCUCUUCGGAGAAGAGCGGCGGACGGGUGAGUAACGCGUGGGUAACCUGCCUUGUACACACGGAUAACAUACCGAAAGGUAUGCUAAUACGAGAUAAUAUGCUUUUAUCGCAUGGUAGAAGUAUCAAAGCUUUUGCGGUACAGGAUGGACCCGCGUCUGAUUAGCUAGUUGAUAAGGUAACGGCUUACCAAGGCGACGAUCAGUAGCCGACCUGAGAGGGUGAUCGGCCACAUUGGAACUGAGACACGGUCCAAACUCCUACGGGAGGCAGCAGUGGGGAAUAUUGCACAAUGGGCGAAAGCCUGAUGCAGCAACGCCGCGUGAGCGAUGAAGGCCUUCGGGUCGUAAAGCUCUGUCCUCAAGGAAGAUAAUGACGGUACUUGAGGAGGAAGCCCCGGCUAACUACGUGCCAGCCGCCGCCGUAA
rnacentral:rRNA from 1 species